rnacentral:rRNA from 1 species
UACGAAGGGGGCUAGCGUUGCUCGGAUUGACUGGGCGUAAAGGGCGCGUAGGCGGUUUGUACAGUCAGACGUGAAAUUCCUGGGCUCAACCUGGGGGCUGCGUUUGAUACGUGCAGACUUGAGUUCGGAAGAGGGUCGUGGAAUUCCCAGUGUAGAGGUGAAAUUCGUAGAUAUUGGGAAGAACACCGGUGGCGAAGGCGGCGACCUGGUCCGGUACUGACGCUGAGGUGCGAAAGCGUGGGGAGCAAACAGG